UACAGGGGGUGCAAACGUUGCUCGGAAUUAUUGGGCGUAAAGCGCGCGUAGGCGGUGACUCAAGUCGGGUGUGAAAGCCCUUGGCUUAACCGAGGAAGUGCAUCCGAAAACUGAGUCGCUAGAGUACGAUAGAGGGUCGCGGAAUUCCCGGUGUAGAGGUGAAAUUCGUAGAUAUCGGGAGGAACACCGGUGGCGAAGGCGGGUCUCUGGGCCGAUACUGACGCUGAGGAGCGAAAGCGUGGGGAGCGAACAGG
rnacentral:rRNA from 1 species